UACGUAGGGUGCGAGCGUUAAUCGGAAUUACUGGGCGUAAAGCGUGCGCAGGCGGUUCGUCGUGUCUCGUGUGAAAGCCCCGGGCUCAACCUGGGAAUGGCAUGGGAAACUGGCGAACUGGAGUGUGGCAGAGGGGGGUGGAAUUCCGCGUGUAGCAGUGAAAUGCGUAGAGAUGCGGAGGAACACCGAUGGCGAAGGCAGCCCCCUGGGCUGACACUGACGCUCAGGCACGAAAGCGUGGGGAGCAAACAGG
rnacentral:rRNA from 1 species